CUACGGGUGGCUGCAGUGGGGAAUAUUGCACAAUGGGCGCAAGCCUGAUGCAGCCAUGCCGCGUGUAUGAAGAAGGCCUUCGGGUUGUAAAGUACUUUCAGCGGGGAGGAAGGGAGUAAAGUUAAUACCUUUGCUCAUUGACGUUACCCGCAGAAGAAGCACCGGCUAACUCCGUGCCAGCAGCCGCGGUAAUACGGAGGGUGCAGGCGUUAAUCGGAAUUACUGGGCGUAAAGCGCACGCAGGCGGUUUGUUAAGUCAGAUGUGAAAUCCCCGGGCUCAACCUGGGAACUGCAUCUGAUACUGGCAAGCUCGAGUCUCGUAGAGGGGGGUAGAAUUCCAGGUGUAGCGGUGAAAUGCGUAGAGAUCUGGAGGAAUACCGGUGGCAAAGGCGGCCCCCUGGACGAAGACUGACGCUCAGGUGCGAAAGCGUGGGGAGCAAACAGGAUUAGAUACCCCUGUAGUC
rnacentral:rRNA from 1 species